GAUGGCAUCACACAAUGUCAAACCUUCAUGAAAUCAGUCUCUUUAAAUAGUCAGGUGAACAUCUGUUAGAUUCAAUAGAAAAAAAAAAAUCAAAUUUACAGAAGUUAUGUGCCUAUUAAAGCUGUUCAGCUGAAGAGGGCUUCAGCAAAACCGAAGUCCCAAGAAUACUUGGCACUUCGGUCCAAAUCAGACAAUAAACCAAUAUAAUAGAUGCUAUAGGCGCUGAUUCUAAACAUUUUUACAGGCCCUAAAAUUCAUUAGAUUGGU
rnacentral:misc_RNA from 1 species